UGAGGAAUAUUGGUCAAUGGACGCAAGUCUGAACCAGCCAAGUAGCGUGCAGGAUGACGGCCCUAUGGGUUGUAAACUGCUUUCAUAUGGGAAUAAAGUGAGGGACGUGUCCCUUAUUGCAUGUACCAUACGAAUAAGGACCGGCUAAUUCCGUGCCAGCAGCCGCGGUAAUACGGAAGGUCCAGGCGUUAUCCGGAUUUAUUGGGUUUAAAGGGAGCGUAGGCUGUUUGUUAAGCGUGUUGUGAAAUGUAAGAGCUCAACUUUUAGAUUGCAGCGCGAACUGGCAGACUUGAGUGCGCACAACGUAGGCGGAAUUCAUGGUGUAGAGAUGAAAUGCUUAGAUAUAAUGACGAACUCCGAUUGCGAAGGCAGCUUACGGGAGCGCAACUGACGCUAAAGCUCGAAGGUGCGGGUAUCGAACAGG
rnacentral:rRNA from 1 species